rnacentral:rRNA from 2 species
GUGGUAAUGCCGGAUGCUCCAGUUGAUCGCAUGGUCUUCUGGGAAAGCUUUCGCGGUAUGGGAUGGGGUCGCGUCCUAUCAGCUUGACGGCGGGGUAACGGCCCACCGUGGCUUCGACGGGUAGCCGGCCUGAGAGGGCGACCGGCCACAUUGGGACUGAGAUACGGCCCAGACUCCUACGGGAGGCAGCAGUGGGGAAUAUUGCACAAUGGGCGCAAGCCUGAUGCAGCGACGCCGCGUGAGGGAUGGAGGCCUUCGGGUUGUAAACCUCUUUUAUCGGGGAGCAAGCGAGAGUGAGUUUACCCGUUGAAUAAGCACCGGCUAACUACGUGCCAGCAGCCGCGGUAAUACGUAGGGUGCAAGCGUUAUCCGGAAUUAUUGGGCGUAAAGGGCUCGUAGGCGGUUCGUCGCGUCCGGUGUGAAAGUCCAUCGCUUAACGGUGGAUCCGCGCCGGGUACGGGCGGGCUUGAGUGCGGUAGGGGAGACUGGAAUUCCCGGUGUAACGGUGGAAUGUGUAGAUAUCGGGAAGAACACCA